rnacentral:tRNA from 1 species
ACGGGUGUAGCUCAAUCAGGUAGAGCAGCGGUCUCCAAAGCCGUCGGUUGUGGGUUCGACUCCUUCCGCCCGUGC